rnacentral:rRNA from 1 species
UAUCCUACGGGGGGCAGCAGUGGGGGAUAUUGCACAAUGGGGGGAACCCUGAUGCAGCGACGCCGCGUGGGCGAUGGAGUACUUCGGUAUGUAAAGCCCUAUCAGCAGGGAAGAAAAUGACGGUACCUGACUAAGAAGCCUCGGCUAAAUACGUGCCAGCAGCCGCGGUAAUACGUAUGGGGCAAGCGUUAUCCGGAUUUACUGGGUGUAAAGGGAGCGUAGGCGGCCUGGCAAGUCUGAUGUGAAAACCCGGGGCUCAACCCCGGGACUGCAUUGGAAACUGCAUGGCUGGAGUGUCGGAGAGG